AUUAAUAAAUCUAGAAGGUCUUAAAGACCUUUCUAACAUCUUGUGAAACAUAUAUGUCUCUAUUUAAACUUUGUAUUAUUUUAUAGUCUAAAAUUUAAAAAGUAAUUAAAACAACUUUUGACAACGGAUCUCUAGGCUCUCGCAACGAUGAAGAACGCAGCGAAAUGCGAUAAGUAAUGUGAAUUGCAGAAUUCCGUGAAUCAUUAAAUCUUUGAACGCACAUUGCGCCUUUUGGUAUUCCUCAAGGCAUGCCUGUUCGAGAAUCAGUUUAACCAUCAAACCUAUUAUGGAAACAUGAUAUGGUUUGGACUUGGGACUUCUCGAUAGAGAGACCCUAAUUUGAUUUGUUGCUUGUUAUCAAGUUUGAUAUAUAUAGGGCAUGACCAAUGGACGAAAGUUCUUAAUUGUGUUACUAGUGUAUUAAAGCUUUUAAUGAGUACAGAAAUAUUACGAAGAGCUAAACCUCUUUAAGACUUGAUCUCGAAUCAGACAAGACUACCCGCUGAACUUAA
rnacentral:rRNA from 1 species